rnacentral:lncRNA from 1 species
AAUCCGCAGCAUGCUCCAGAAGCAACUGGAAGGCGAUGGAGCGGACAACAGCAGCUUGGACCGAUAGACGACGACGAGAAAAGCAGAGGCCUACAGGAGGCAAAAUGCAGUAGUCAGCGAGCGGGUAAAUCCAAAACAUAGCAAAUAAUGGUGAUGGAGACACCUCAACAAAAUGGUUCCAUGGCAAGUCAACCCAAAGUGCAGCAGCAACAAAGAACCAGCGGAGUUGCAGCAGAAAAGAGAGGCAAAAAUGAAAGCAAGAAGAAACCCAGAUCAGUGCAAAGGAAACAGGGUACUAAAAGCCUAGCCUGUUCAAAGCUUUCUGGGUGUGUACGACAUGCAUAUAUUUAGUAAAGUGUAUUGCACAUAAGCAUCACUACCAACAACAUAUGAGGAUCUGACAAAUAGGGGAUACUACAGCCAUUUUUAAAAUUGCAUAUUUUCAUGCAUAUACUUGAUAUCCCGACGACACUAUAUUCACACUACUUGAGAAAGUAAAUAGUCAAACGACAUUAAUAAAGAAGUCGUAGAGUUCUACCGUUUCCGCUUUACAAUCCCAAUAAUACAAUAUAGUUCUUCUGCAAGUAAUUAUAUGACAUGAUGGUCUACAGCUACAAGAAGGUUGGGUGAAGUCUACAAUGGGUUCUUUUCCAAGGAAGGAGAAGGCCCAGGUGGCGCUGGUCUACAGCUAAAAGAACGACAUCAGCAGGUUCGGGCGAAGCUCACGCAGGUCGCCGUGUUGAGGAGUGAGUUCCCCUCUUGCUGCUCUGCUAUGCUCUCACAAUCAACUGAAUCCCUUUAGCUAGCAGUAAAACAACAGUUGCAAGAGCUUUUUUUAAUUGCAUGAUGCACAGUUGAUGGUCAACUAAGACAAACUCAUAGUAUAAUCGUUAAGAUCAAGUUUGUAAUUUUAGUCGGACCUGUUGUCAAUACCGAGGUCAAUGCAAGGCCUACUCACAUGGUUAAUAUACUAGUUCUUGUCACCAGAAAACCAAGAAUGGUGUGCCAUGAGCAAGGAUCGACAUUACAAAUGUAUACAAUAUUAUGUAUAAAUGGCCAAUGGCUCCAGCAACUAUAGCAAUUAAACCGUGAGCACCAUGGAAAGAGGAUAAUGAUUUAAUUCAGCCGUUGUGUAAAAAAGAAAACAAAUAGUUAUUGAACCUAGCCUUGUUAUUGUACCUAUUCAAACUAAACAAAGUAAAUAUAGAUAGCAAAUCUACUGAAAGUAGAACGCACACAAUGCUUGAACAACUCUAGCAGCCUCUGAUAUGCCAAUCAAGAUACCUCACAAAAUAUUCUCAAAAUGCAUUGAUCAACAUCUGUGCAAACCAAACAAAGGAGGCUGCUACACUAUGGAUCAGAAAAUAUUCACCAUCUAACUUGUUCAGGCCAAAGCCAUUGCCAAGACUCAAAUUUAUUCCUUAAAUGUUCCAUAUGUUCAUAAAAUAAAAUAUAAUACGAUGAACUCUAGUUUCAUAAACUGUUAUUCGAACAUAUGUACAAUUUUGUAACCGAGUAUACACACCAGUGCUAACCACAUAUAGUUGUUCUUAGUCCAAGCAAAAAUGUACCCGUGUUAACAAUUUUGUACAUGGGUAGUGUGGAUAUUUAACCUCAACAGGAUAACAUCACAUUUUAUCUGCUAACCAAAGUACAACAGGGCAGAGCUUGAAUCUAACUAUUCUAAAAAAAACCACAAACCUAUCUAGCAUAUAUAAUUUGGAUCUAGCAUAUAUAAUUUGGCUCGGUGUAUCCAUGUUAACAACUGAUUAACUGAUAUAUUAGGCUGGGGUACCAAGUCUAAUUAGUUACGUGAUUCCUAAUCAGGAAGCCUACUCAUGUGUGGCCACCUGUAACAUUUCUUUAAACAUGUUGCUUCAAUAAUGUCAAUCUACAAUGCAUUCAUAAUACAUAAAGGGGAAUAAAAUGCAGCUUCCAUCAGGACAAAUAUAUUAACAAGUUUAAAUGUGAAUGAUGGAGGAAGUAAAAGCAACGAGAGAGGAGCACCUCUGCAAGAUUGGAGGAAGUGGUGUUCCACUCCUAAGGCUCAUGGCGCUCCUGUAGCCGACGCCUCCUGGAAGCUAUGUAUGGUUGAGAAGAACAGGUUGGAGGUCGGCGUUGAGCGCAGUCAUUCCUCACAGUCGACCAACUCAGCUAGCUUUGUCACUCCCAUGCUCGCUGCCACAGUCGUUCGUACUCCCUCCGUAAGAUAGCAGGGGAUGGAGAGCCGAUGCGACAGCAAGCGCAGGAGAUAUCAGGGGAAGGACCUGG